UCGGAAGCAAAGCAGAGUUGGGCCUGGUUAGUACUUGGUUGGGAGACUGAAUGGGAAUACUAGUUGCUGUAAGCAUUUUAUUUGGAUCAGUGUUUUCAUGGCCUCUGCACAACAUCCUGUUUUGGGAUAAAGGUUGGACACAGGUUUGAAGGGGACCCAAUCAAUCAAUCAGUCAGUCAGUCUUUUGAUUACACUAUUUAAAUAGGCCCCAUUUGGGGUCAGCUUUCGGUUACGGCCAUACCACUCUGACAAAGCCUGAUCUCAUCUGACCUCGGAAGCAAAGCAGAGUUGGGCCUGGUUAGUACUCGGUUGGGAGACUGAAUGGGAAUACUAGGUGCUGUAAGCUUUUUAUUUGGAUCAGUGUUUUCAUGGCCUCUGCACAACAUCCUGUUUUGGGAUAAAGGUUGGACACAGGUUUGAAGGGGACUCAAUCAAUCAAUCAAUCAAUCAAUCAAUCAAUCAAUCAAUCAGUCAGUCUUUUGAUUACACUAUUUAAAUAGGCCCCAUUUGGGGUCAGCUUUCGCUUACGGCCAUACCACUCUGAAAAAGCCUGAUCUCAUCUGACCUCGGAAGCAAAGCAGCGUUGGGCCUGGUUAGUACUUGGUUGGGAAACUGAAUGGGAAUACUAGGUGCUGUAAGCUUUUUAUUUGGAUCAGUGUUUUCAUGGCCUCUGCACAACAUCCUGUUUUGGGAUAAAGGUUGGACACAGGUUUGAAGGGGACCCAAUCAAUCAAUCAGUCAGUCAGUCAGUCAGUCUUUUGAUUACACUAUUUAAAUAGGCCCCAUUUGGGGUCAGCUUUCGCUUACGGCCAUACCACUCUGAAAAAGCCUGAUCUCAUCUGACCUCGGAAGCAAAGCAGCGUUGGGCCUGGUUAGUACUUGGUUGGGAAACUGAAUGGGAAUACUAGGUGCUGUAAGCUUUUUAUUUGUAUCAGUGUUUUAAGCUCUUUACCUUCUCCUGACAUUGAAGAAUAUUCCGUACUACACCAAUGCAGCCUCCAAUUCUGACAGUUAUCUCCCAUUCAUGAGAGAUUAACUCUAGUGCUACCUCGAACAACCUCCUGGAACUGGUCAACUUCAUUAAAAUCCGGUGGAAUUGGGCCAUUUUCAUGUUUUUUCAAGACAAUUUUU
ensembl:lncRNA